AUUGAACGCUGGCGGCAGGCCUAACACAUGCAAGUCGAACGGUAACAGGAAGAAGCUUGCUUCUUUGCUGACGAGUGGCGGACGGGUGAGUAAUGUCUGGGAAACUGCCUGAUGGAGGGGGAUAACUACUGGAAACGGUAGCUAAUACCGCAUAACGUCGCAAGACCAAAAAGGGUGACCUUCGGGCCUCUUGCCAUCGGAUGUGCCCAGAUGGGAUUAGCUAGUAGGUGGGGUAACGGCUCACCUAGGCGACGAUCCCUAGCUGGUCUGAGAGGAUGACCAGCCACACUGGAACUGAGACACGGUCCAGACUCCUACGGGAGGCAGCAGUGGGGAAUAUUGCACAAUGGGCGCAAGCCUGAUGCAGCCAUGCCGCGUGUAUGAAGAAGGCCUUCGGGUUGUAAAGUACUUUCAGCGGGAAGGAAGGGAGUAAAGUUAAUACCUUUGCUCAUUGACGUUACCCGCAGAAGAAGCACCGGCUAACUCCGUG
rnacentral:rRNA from 1 species